rnacentral:rRNA from 1 species
CGGCGGACGGGUGAGUAAUGUAUGGGGAUCUGCCCGAUAGAGGGGGAUAACUACUGGAAACGGUGGCUAAUACCGCAUAAUGUCUACGGACCAAAGCAGGGGCUCUUCGGACCUUGCACUAUCGGAUGAACCCAUAUGGGAUUAGCUAGUUGAUGAGGUAACGGCCCACCAAGGCGACGAUUGGUAGCCGGACUGAGAGGUUGAACGGCCACAUUGGGACUGAGACACGGCCCAG